GCACAGCAGGGCUUCAUCAAGAGUCCUAUUUCAAUUAAAUUAACCAGAGCUGACUGAUUAUAUAGCUGUUGUGGAAUUUCCAAAUUCCAGCCCUUAAGCACAACAUCCUGUUGAAAAACUGAGUCCAACGAGUCUCAGAACCCAGAAUGCUUCAUUAAGCAAAAAUAAUCCUUUUGAUCCAUCAUUUUAUCUCAUUGGACUUUAAGUACUAUGGAAGGAUUUGCUUUUUAGUUUGCUUGAAUUUGGUUUGCUUCCACAGUUACUGUGUCCCAUACAUAAAUACACAACUGACAAAUGCAAAGACCCAGACAGCAGGUCCUUGGUUUACAUCUCGAAGAUUAUCUCAGACUUCUCCUGCACAGAAAUGUUACUUGUCUGCAUGGAAAUCAUGUGCUUGACACUUCAAGGCUCUGAUGCAGAAGGGUGGAAAUAACUGAGACAAGCGGAACCCUUUUAGGGGAGUACAUUUUGCAGGGCUACUGUUUUGGAGUUCUGCACCCACCAUACUUGAUGUCUCGGUUUUGCCACAAGCAGUUGGUUGAAUCCACAGAUAUGGAACCCAAGAAUACAGAGAGUUAACUGGAAUGAACACACAGAAUCUCUGCAGACCACUGAGUGCUUUAAAUAAUGCAAUACUAAAGUUAAAUAAGAUGGCAUAAAUUACUUUAUCAUUAGGUUUGUCAAGGCUCAACUUUAUUUUUUAAAGAUCCCUUUUAAUGACGAUUAAAAUGCAUGACUAGUGUUAUCACUGAGAGCCAGGAACAAUCUAUACACUUUCAAAACUACAAUAUUUAAUAAUCUGAGGUUAAAUAAAAACAUACUCCAUUUGAAUCUGAGAUGGUCCAAAGAUAGAACUUUAGAACAGAACCAAAUAAAAUACAACCUUUCUACCAAGCUACAAAAUGUCUCAAGAAUAAUAUAUUUUCAUUUGGAAAGUAUUCAGAUUUGAAACAAUAUAUUUCAUAAGUAUUCCAAAGAGAAGCUGAAAUCAAGAGUAACGUAAAAAAUACACACGUACUUUUGAUGGUCAUAAUGGAUUUGUCCAUUGUUGCCUAUAAUUACUACAGCAGGAUUAUUUUUCUAAAAAUAAAGAAAACAUAUUUUUGAAAAUGUCUUUAAUCAAACAAUUCUACAUCAUUCUUGAUGUACCAUGAAGUGUCUUACAUAUCUAAGAUUCUAGGACUCUAAAUCUUUUAACAACCUGGCCUUCAGACUCAAGGAAUUACUAAAGUUCUCCUUUAAAUUACUAAUAAUAACCCCUGAAAAUUAAUAGAGAAACAACCAGCUGAUGAGAAGAUCAUCAACCUUAAGGCUGCUAAGCCACAAGCUAAUGUUUCCAAUAUGUAAGUACAUUUUUAUUUUAACUGCUUCAGGAGAGAUCAUCAAAAAAUUGGCCCAAUCAAAAAGAAUGAUUAACAUAUGACCAGAUAUGAGUAUGUGAGCUGGCAAUAGUCAUGCACUUGGAUGUUCUUAUGUAAGCAAACUGUUAAGAGUCUUCUAAAACUACUACUUUUACCACCUACAUCUACAGAUUCGUAUUUAUCCAUUAAGUUGGACCAUGGGAGCAGAAGUCAACGCAAAGCUCUGAGAGUCAGGA